CCUACGGGAGGCAGCAGUGAGGAAUAUUGGUCAAUGGCCGAGAGGCUGAACCAGCCAAGUCGCGUGAGGGAAGAAUGUCCUAUGGAUUGUAAACCUCUUUUGUCAGGGAGCAAAGUCACCCACGUGUGGGUGUUGGAGAGUACCUGAAGAAUAAGCAUCGGCAAACUCCGUGCCAGCAGCCGCGGUAAUACGGGGGAUGCGAGCGUUAUCCGGAUUUAUUGGGUUAAAAGGGUGCGUAGGCGGGUUAUCAAGUCAGCGGUAAAAUCGUGGAGCUCAACUCCAUCCAGCCGUUGAAACUGAUGAUCGUGAGUGGGCGUAAGGUAUGCGGAAUGCGUGGUGUAGUGGUGAAAUGCAUAGAUAUCACGCAGAACUCCGAUGGCGAAGGCAGCAUACCGGCGCCCGACUGACGCUGAAGCACGAAAGCGUGGGUAUCGAACAGGAUUAGAUACCCGGGUAGUC
rnacentral:rRNA from 1 species